GGGGAAUAUUGGACAAUGGGGGCAACCCUGAUCCAGCAAUACCGCGUGUGUGAAGAAGGCCUGAGGGUUGUAAAGCACUUUCAGUGGGGAGGAGAGUAUUUAGGUUAAGAGCUAGAAUACUGGACGUUACCCACAGAAGAAGCACCGGCUGACUCCGUGCCAGCAGCCGCGGUAAUACGGAGGGUGCAAGCGUUAAUCGGAAUUACUGGGCGUAAAGGGUGCGUAGGUGGUUAAGUAAGUUAUCUGUGAAAUCCCUGGGCUCAACCUGGGCAGGUCAGAUAAAACUGUUUAACUCGAGUAUGGGAGAGGGUAGUGGAAUUUCCGGUGUAGCGGUGAAAUGCGUAGAGAUCGGAAGGAACACCAGUGGCGAAGGCGGCUACCUGGCCCAAUACUGACACUGAGGCACGAAAGCGUGGGGAGCAAAC
rnacentral:rRNA from 1 species